AUGCAAGUCGAACGCUUCAGCAAUGAAGAGUGGCAGACGGGUGAGUAACGCGUGGGAACCUUCCCAGUGGUACGGAAUAGCCCAGGGAAACUUGGGGUAAUACCGUAUAAGCCCUUAGGGGGAAAGAUUUAUCGCCAUUGGAUGGGCCCGCGUCGGAUUAGCUUGUUGGUGAGGUAAAAGCUCACCAAGGCGACGAUCCGUAGCUGGUCUGAGAGGAUGAUCAGCCACACUGGGACUGAGACACGGCCCAGACUCCUACGGGAGGCAGCGGUGGGGAAUAUUGGACAAUGGGCGCAAGCCCGAUCCAGCCAUGCCGCGUGAGUGACGAAGGCCUUAGGGUUGUAAAGCUCUUUUGGCGGGGACGAUAAUGACGGUACCCGCAGAAUAAGCUCCGGCUAACUUCGUGCCAGCAGCCGCGGUAAUACGAAGGGAGCUAGCGUUGUUCGGAAUUACUGGGCGUAAAGCGCACGUAGGCGGACUUGUUAGUCAGGGGUGAAAUCCCGGGGCCCAACCUCGGAACUGCCUUUGAUACUGCAAGUCUGGAGUCCGGAAGAGGUGGGUGGAAUUCCUAGUGUAGAGGUGAAAUUCGUAGAUAUUAGGAGGAACACCGGUGGCGAAGGCGGCCCACUGGUCCGGUACUGACGCUGAG
rnacentral:rRNA from 1 species